rnacentral:tRNA from 2 species
GCUGGGGUAGCUCAGUCGGCAGAGCAUCUCCAUGGUAAGGAGAAGGUCGAGGGUUCGAUUCCCUUCCCCAGCU